UGCUUCAUCACAAUAUUAUUACCAAUUUAUUAAACCAAGAUUGCAUAGACUGAAGAAAUGAGUGUGACACAUCCCCGGGGGUUUUCUGGAGGUAGACCUCCAGCUGUUUCAUUCUCACAUGCACUCUGGUUUACAGGGAUAUGGAAAAAUAUUUGCAUUUCAGUUCAAUGCAGCACAAUUUUAUAUCGUUUGCAGGUUUUCUUAAAGGAAGGGUAGAAGCAUGCACAGCAAGCUGGAGAUGUACACUUUGGGAGAUAGAGCUACCAUCUUCCAGGGAGAAUGGGGGAAAACACAUGGUGGUUGUUAAUUUAUAUCCUGGACAAUGCUGUAAAUCCAAGCAUCGCUGACAAUUCCUGCCCAGUAAACAUGCUCAAUUUCAUCUUCCGUAAAAAGGCGAGCAGGCAUUGAAUAGCAACACAUUUUGAUUUUCAUUUAGCCACUUUAAUGAUAGGUGAUGUUAGUGGAAAAGAUCAUUUAUCUUCAGAUUUAUUUUAUAUGAGAUAAAAGGCCUUGCCAAUUUUUUAAAAUUCAUUUACACAAGUGAAUAAAUCUUCCCAAACAAUAAGUAGGAAAGUCAUAUUUCUUUAACUUUGCUAAAAUCUGAAAAUGCUGAUCUUGGAGUGAAAUAGACAGCACUGGCAUUUUAAUCAAGAACAUAAAGACUCCUCUUCUAAACAAGAAGCACAGCUAUACUUCAGAAAAAAAAACAAAAAACCUCUGAUUCAGAGGACAGCCUUUUUUAAUGCAUUUUGUCAAAAAUCUCUGAUAAAUCAGGAGAGUGCAAUUUUUAUGUCCCCUUCAUUUUUAGAUCAGUUCCAAUGUGAAGGCUACCUAAAAAUAGACAGAACCUAACCUUUCAAAUAUCUAUACUGCUGCAUACCACGAACACAAGCUUUCAGUGCCUCUCAUGGCUCUCAGAAGCCCUGUGCUGUGCCUGUCUUCUCCUCUAGCACAUUAUCCCAUGUUGCCUACUGCACCCAGGCAUGAGACAAGCUGCAAGUUGCAAUGUGCAGUGCACUGCAGUACGUGGUAUGUGUCCAUUUGAGGCACACAAGCAAAAAGAUCAUGAAAACCAGCCUCCCCCUUUGGCUAUUGGAUUUUUGCCACAAAAAGGACACUGACAACAUUGAACCUGUGCUUGCAGACACAGUUCUACCCAUCUAAAGAAGAGAUUUUGCAACAGUGCACUGAAGUGAGUGACUGGUGUAGAAUUACAGGACCGCAGAAUAGUCGCAGGUCCUAAAGCCACACUAGGAGCUGGAAUAGGAGAAAGCUGUACUAAAACCCAGUUGUGGGUCUGCCCUGGAGGCUUUGAGUGACUAUGACUGUUGCUUACACGAAAUAGAAAAUCACCCUUGUACCAGUUGUUAGCUGGCUACUCCUAGCAGGAACGAGCUCGUGAGGACUUGCUUUUCUUUGUUUACUGUCAUGCUCUGCUCUGAUGGAGUCAGAAGUUUGUCAAGGCAUUUUACUCUGUCAAAAAAAUGAAUAAAAUAACUUACACUGAUAAAAUAAUGAAAUAAAGCGGCAUCAGACUAAAUUAAUUCCUUCAAAGAAUUUUGGAUGGAAAAUGUCUUACCUGCUGACAGGAAGGCAAGAAUAGCAAACAAAGGCAUAGGAAUAAAAGCCAUUCAAUAAAAUAUCGAUUUCAUUAUCACCACCUAUUCAACUUAAUUUUCUUGGCAUCCAUAUCCCUAAUGCAGGUUUGUGAUAGAUCGUACACUCACUUUUUAAUUAAGCCCUACUGUGCCUUGUAUUAAGAACAAGACAGUAUACAUUAUGGCACAAUAUAUCUACCAAAAUAUUUAAUGCUCAUCCUUUUCAUUUUGGUAUUUAAAAGUUGUUCUCUUAGGAGGUGGUAUCAGUAUUUAACAACAUUCUUGACAGUAAGUAUAAAAACAAAAAGCUUCAUACUUAAUCUAGCCAUGUCAAAACUGAAACUCCUUAAAAUAAUUGCUUUCUGAAUAUAUAGUAUUUCUAUUGAAUUAUUUUAUUAUUUCUCAGCUUUCAACAUCUUAAAAUGCAAAACUUGUUCCUUCUACAUACUGAUGAGAUGAGAUGAGAAGUGGCACAAGGAUAGAAAACUCACAUUUGACCAGUUGAAUGGUACAUGAAACAGAUGUUAUCAUGUUACAAGAGAUAUUUAAUGAGAAGCUGUAAAGGACUGGCAGCUUUCUGGGUUGGUAGUAUUUUUUGUUUCAGGUCUCUUUUGGUGUAUUGCAGUUCUGCUGCUUGUGAUGGGGCAGAUCCUCUGUAAGAACAGCACUCAUCUUCCACUGGGGUACUGGCACUUUGUAGAGAGCAACAUUCACUUUAAUUAGUAAAAUGUACCCACCUUCUUCCAAGUAAGAAAAAGCUGUUGUUGCAUGUGGUUUUAGUUUUUAAUGCCAAAAUAAAUAAGUAAACAUAUUUACAUUAUGGUAUACUAUUUCUUAUUCUGUACCCGUAGUAACCAAAUUAAUCUCAAGACGCUGCUGGCAUUAAUUCAAUCUGAAGCUCAUACUUGGGAUUUCACAUAGGUGCCUUUAUCCUAUUCUUCUUCUUAACUAAUAAAAUGGUAAUAUAUGGCAAUAUAUUUAUUUCUGGUUCAGUUCAAGUUGAGGUGUGCAGUACUUUGCAGAAACCUAAUUAAUAUGAAUCAUACAUUAGAACACUCUGUUUAGUAUACAAAAAAAUGGUGCUAGCACAUGAGGAUGAAAUAGAAGAUCCAAGCAUUCAUUUCUAGCUGUAACUUUUCUAUCUGUCUCUGGCAUUGGGAAGGCUAGUUUUCCUUACCCUUCAAUCUCCAUUAAAAAAAAAAAUCCCUAACAUACAGUGUAGUUUUUUGCUGUAGAACUACACUAAAAAAAUCACAAAUUGUUAAAAAAAAAAAAAAAGGAGUAAGGAGAUCUUGGAAGAUGAGAUACUGACAUCCCCCCCUGUACCACCAAGAGUUUGGUGCACAGUAGCAGUGAACUAGUUCCCACAGUAAUCCAGAGGUACUGUCUUCAGCAACACCCACUGAUACGAAUUUUCCCACUGGAACAGUCUUCAGCCAAAAAUACCCAUCUAGCUGAUAGUGAAAACUAUCCAACACCCCAGGAAUUGUGCCUGAACUUCUCAGGAGACACAAGCAGCUCAACAGCUGUGGUGUUGUCUAGAUCUUCUCUAGACCUCAGCAAGGUCUAGAGAAAAGAAAUCCAGCUAUUUUGUCUGAACUUAAUUUGGGCAAUCUGAUACCCCAGGCAUGCUACUAUCCCAAAAUCU